CAAUCGCAGAGUGCAGGACGGCUUCUGGACACACUCCAACACACUUCAUUUGUUCCUGAGCGGACAAGAAUCACUCUGCCGGCCGACCGUUCCUCCUCCUUUCCUCUGUUUGUGUGUGUGUUGUCCUUCUGACGCUCCAGCGCCGAUGAGCCGAGCGCGCGCACGUUCCGAGUCGACGGCGUCUCGUCUGCCGUUUUGCCGUGGGGCCGUUUGGAAAGGGCGUCUGAGGGAGAGGGGCAGGAACCAUCCGGCGUGUCUCCCACUUAAUGUGGAGUGAAGGACAGACAGGAGAUAAAUCACAGGAUUAACGCGAGUCCAUCUAGGGGAGAGCUCCAGACAAGGUCACUGUCCCGGGAUGGACAUGAUGGAGUAAACAGGCAGCAGAGGGGUGUGUGAUGAACACACACGUGCAGCGGCGCGAGUGACGAGCCCAACGCCCCCGAGCCCUCCGGGAACGCUUAUCGGGAAAGUGUCACUUUUAUGACCGAGGAGGGACGAGUCUCGCCGUCUCCUCGGGGUCCCGGUCCAGCUCUGCACCGCAGCGGCGAGGAGGCUAAGAUGGCGGCCGUCCGCGGUGACGCGCGUGCCCGGGCAGAGGCCCAGCUGCUCGGCUCCUCGCAGCUGUUCCCUCCCGCUAAUCUCCCGCCAUUCGGAUUUGAUGACAGUUUCAGGGAAUAAACACGACCGCGUUGCUGUUGCAAAACAAAAUAUCCGUCUCUCCGAAGACAGUUUGUAUUAGCGACGAGCGGGAAAAGAGGAGGCGCCGGCGUGUCCCCACUAGUGCUGCAGCGCCGCUGUUUAUUUGGACGUCGGGAUCAUUUCCUGGUUACCUCCACCGACCAUCUGUUGAUGGUUGAUUUGUUAGUGGGAAUAUGUAAAAACUGGACAGAAUGUUGGAGGACGAAGCAACAAAGGAAGUCUGACCCCGCUGCCAUUCAGAUGGUCGUCCCUGUGGGAUUAGUGAUGGCCCUCAAGCCUCCAGAAGAGUCCUGGUACAUCAGAGCAGCAAACAGGGGUGAUGACAGUGCUGGGAGGCCUCUGCCAUUUGACUGCACCAUUUAGUGGUGCUUCGCUGCAGAUCUAGUGUCUCAUUAAAGGCACUUAACAUGCUCCCCGGUGUGAGACAAUUAAAACUACGUAGAGUUGGAAUGAUUUGGCCAUUUUGGGAGCGCCAUAUGUGAGAAGCAGUCCGCUCGCUCAGAGCAACUCAGCCUUUCUUAUUAAUACUAUUAAUGACCCUUCAGCGCUCUGCUUACACAACCUGGGGGCCCAGGCUACCUUCAAUUGAUUCAGCAUGUCACCUUUUCACCACUAAGUGUCAAGAAGCUGUGUUUAAAACCAAAACCCGAGUCAACUCCUGGACCCUUGGAACUGCUAAAAAGGCCUGUUUUCCCUCUUGCAACAGUAAUUUUCCAAUAAACCAGACAGCCA
rnacentral:lncRNA from 1 species